UCCUAAUCAACCUAGGGUUUUAAUUUCUGUUUUCCUUUAAAUAAACCUCCUUGUUGCAGCCACAAAACAUUCCCCAUUCAUCCAGAAACUCACCAUUCACGCCAGAAACUGAACUUCAUCUUCAACAGCCCCAUUCUACCACCAUUCACCCAAAUUUCUGCAAAACCACCCUAGCCGCACCACCCAUCAACCCUAAACACUUCCAUACGUCCUCCAUCCAUUCUACAUCAUCAAAACAGCCCAGGAACCACCAACAUCCAAUCUGCCGCAAGCAAGGAAAGGGGACAGAUUCUCUACAAUUGUUUGGCUUUUCAAUCUGAGUUGUUGAACGAUUUUAGGUGUUUUCUAUCUUAUAUUUCAAUGUUUAAUUCAUGUAAUCUUUGUUUUGCUUUAAGUAUGAUUGGCUAAAUUUGUUUUGGCUAAGGGUGGAUUCAAAACCAUGAUUAUAUAUGUGAAAUAAGUUGAUUACUUCCAGUUAUCGUUGCAUAAGUCGUGAAUACAAUUCGCUUAACCGUUUGAUUUAGAACUUAUUCUUGUAUGUUGAUUGAGAGUGCACGCUUAAUUUGCAUGCUUGAAUUUGGUGCUAGGAUAUAAGUUUGUUUCACCUAAUCAUUAUGAAUUUAUAUUCGCAAGUAGUGAAGGUCGCUAGUCACGAUCGUGUUAAGUAGAUUCCUGGCAAGAGUAUCAUGCUUUUCAUAGUUACGAAUGCCUUGUCGAUGCUUAUGAUUUCCAAAGAACGUAAUGAUUCUAACUUGUAUCUUUAUCAUGUUGCUCAUAUAGAGAACUUGUUAGGAAUAAUUUGUUUGCGAUGCAUAUUCAUCAAAUUCAAUGAUUCUAGGGAAAUCUGAAGGUUAAUUUAAGCGGACCUAAUUAACUUGGAGUGUCGAGGUUCAUAACUUGUUAAAUUGAUAACUGGAAAUCGAUUUAGAUUGCAUAUAUUUCAUGUGUGGAGAAGAACCCCUUAGCCAUUCCAUCAUCCAUUGAUUCAUCACAAUUUUGUCUUACAAUCUGUUUUCUUUUUCAAUCUGCCCAUUUAAUUAUUUUCGUCCAAAAUCAAUCCCACCUUAUUCCUUUAAGUCAUAUUACUUAGAACUUGUCUUAGAAUAUGUUUUUAGGUGUUUUAGGUCAUUAGGAAACCAAAAUUCGUCCAAGUUGUGUUAGAGUCCCAAAACUGCCCAGAAAGUGGUUUUUAGGCAAUUUUGAGUGUUUGUUUGCUGUUUUGAGUCUUUUGGUUUGUUUUAGUAUUUUAGAUUUUAGUUUUGCAUUCUUUGAGUCUAGUUUAGUAUUUUAAACUUUGUUUUACAGAUUUGAGUCAGUUUAGAGUGUUUUAGCAAUCCCUCCUAAUCCCCGGUUUAAGAACGAUCCCUACUUAUCCAUACUACAUUUGUCAACAAGAGGGUUUAAUUUGUGUGUUUAGUUAUUUUACGCAUCAGCCCGAUGACUAAAACAGGCCAUAAGGGAAUAAAUGAUCACUCCCCCCGAGGCAUCUUCACCUUCUACCCAAGAAGCACAUGCUUAUCCUCUUCGGGCUAAAUCUUCCAAGGUAUAUUUUCCUCAUUCUUGGCUUUAAACCUGUAAUUUUACUACUUUGGAAGUUAAUGGCUAACCUUCACUUUAUGGUAGUGUUUGGGCCCAAAAAUAUUGUUUUUGGGCCAAGUUUAGAAUCCUUUUCGGCCUAGGAUUGGUUGGGCCAAAUUUAGAAUUCUUCUCGACCUAGAAGUCAUGUACAAGUGUCGUUGGAGUUAUUUAGCUCAUGGGCCGCACGAUCGAAGUUGGCCAU
rnacentral:lncRNA from 1 species